ACGGCACGGCAGUGCAAAUUUCUCUUCUCAUAAACAUCAUCGGAUCGUAUCGAUCGGAGACGGCUGUGAUAAUAAAUAAUACGGAGUACUACUAUAUAACAGUCCUAGAAUCCUACUAUAUACUGGAUGAUACACAUUUAUCGUAGUAAUUCAGUUGUGGUUGUGGCUAUAGAUUCUGGUCUGAUCUCUCUCGCCACUGGCCAGCCACCAUUGACGUAGCGUGAGCACCGAGCAGUGUUGCCUCUGUCUGUCUGUCUGAUUGUCUUGCUACAGAUUCUCCCUCAAUCGAUCGCAGAUUUCCUCCCGUCACUCGCCAGAUUUGAUUUCGGGAGGAAGAGAGGCCUCUUAAUUCAUCUUCCACCGAGUUUCUUCUCAAUUUCGGUCGGAGCAGCUGACUAUGGGGGUUGUAAGCAAGUUCUUCAUUGCAUCCAUGCUUAUGUGGGCAGCUCCGAUUUUGAUUAUAUAUGGGUUUAACCAUAAUCUAUUCCCUGGUUCAGCUAACUUGUCUCCCGAGUCCUUGACACUAUGGAGUGGGAUGGUUGCAGUGGUCUCAGUCAACAUCAUCAUAGCAUCCUACAUCUACUUGGCAAUGAAAGAGCCCUCACAAAAACAUGAGCCGGAUCCCAAAUUCCUGGCAGAUGCCAAGGCUAGCAUAAACCGAUCUGAACCGGGCUCAUCAGAUCGUGCAAAGCAAGAAUAGCUGAUGUUGUUAUCUAACUUAUACUAAUUCAUUCAGGAACACACGAGGUACGACAAAUUAGAUUACCAAUGUUUUUUUUUUUUGGCAAGUUUUGUUGGGUUGCGCUGUUUGUUUUUGUUGAAGUUGUUGUUUGUGAGUUGUUGCUACUAAUAGCUAUAUGAGCAGCAUCAGCAUCAGAUUGGUUGAGUAAGGUGUCAGGAGGAUUGGCUCCACCAAGUGAAUUUGGUCUAGAAAAGCUAAGGCAUGAGAAGUAAUCGACGGCCCUGUCCGCUCAAGAAGCGACACCUUCAUCACUCAUGCCAGUGACUUAGACACCUACCGCAGCGAAGCGACGACAACUCACUCCAGAUAAUGCCUAAGUGUCCACCCCGCAACGGAACAACCAUUCCACUACCAGCCAGCAAAGAUAGCUCCGCUUAGUUGCGCUGAUGCGCUCUAGCCAUCUGGGCAAGUAAGGAAGAUCUGCGGCCCUACAAGCCAAAGCAAGCAAAGCGAGCACCUUGGGAGUUAUGGUCAGCGCAACCGUUUCAACAGAAUAACUGCCGCCAACUACCCAACUGCUCAGCGGUUGAAACCAAUUCUCAACUGCUUGCAACUACUAUUUCAAUUAGUUAUAAAUAUGGCCUGAUGUCUAUUGUAAAAACAUACUUCGAGAUGAGUAUACACUCAUAUCUUCUUGCGCAAAUUUUGUAGCUGUCUUUCUGCCUUCCAAGAGCUCCUAACCUUGCAAGGGAGUUCUAAGCAGGAAUGGCUAGGGGAGUUGAAACUUUUCUCCUCCUUUGGCCGCUACUUUACUGUUUUUUAGUUCUAAUUUACAGCUU